UCCCGUAUUUGCUAAUCUACAUGAAUAGUCCCACCUCUUUUCUAUAUAUCGGCCUUUCAUACACAUGCAUGACUGUACAUCACUAAUUCAUCAUGCUGAAGUUGGUCUUGUCUUUAACUGAACAAUCAUGAUUCUAUUUCUAACUGCUCUGCUCAUCAGUGGCUAUUGUGAUGCUCUCACUUGUAAUCAAACAGUGAACCCUACGACGUAUCGACGUCUGUGGUCAGAUACUGGGAAUGAUUACAAUGGUGUUCCCAUUACCUAUCCACCAAAUUGUAUGCGGCAAAAUCUCCAUGAAAUCUAUAACUACGACGUGGUACUGGGUGACGGAGCAAUCAUUGCAUCUCCUCCUGAUCUCAAUAGUUCAAGUUAUUUCGAGCAUUUCAUUGGGAUGAGUGCAUCAAUGAAUUCGUAUAUUGACUUUGACCUCACUACAGUAACCGCUGGGAUUACUGCUAUAGAGCUCAGUUUCUUGAACAGUCCUGCCAACAGAAUCAGUUUACCAGACAUUGCAAUAUCAGUAGUUUAUUUUGGAACUGUAGCACCUAUUGCAAGCUGGAUAUUUGAUAAUCAAAAUCUUGAUCAGACAGACAACCAAAUCAGAACUAUUAGUAUUCAGCCAUUCAGACCACUUAGUGCUGUGAACCUCAGAAUUACGUUUCAAUUCACAGAAUUUCAUGAUUUUAAUUGGGUCUUUGUAAGUGAAGUACGCUUUUGUACAGACCUUCAACCAAACUUACAACCAGAAGUAAUAUUUCAAAUGCCACCAUCAAACAAUAUCCAGCCAGAUGCAGAGGACCUGAGAAGAAGAUCAACAGAGUUAGUGUGCACUGUUUCCAGUGAAGGAUCGUACACAUGGCAGUGGAAGAAAGAUAAUGUUAUAAUAGUGAAUAAAGGGGACUACAGAAUCACCAUUGGAGAACAACUAAGCUGACAAUCAAUAAUCUAGACUUUAGUGAUGCUGCUGAAUAUGAAUGUACGGGAAUGACAAGACGAGAUGCAAAUGUCAUGAACUCAGCAGUGUAUGUACUGGAAUUUCCAGAGUGUGUCAUUACUACACCUGAUGUCAGUGGAUAUCUACAGACUGGAGAGGUUACCCUGACCUGUGAGCUCCAUGGUUACCAGUCAUCACUCUCUCCUCCUGUGUGGCUAAACACAAAUGGCAGUGAAACAAAUGACUCUGCCAAAUACACUGUGUCCGUGUGUGAAGGAAACAACACCAUAAUUCUACAGAAUGGCACUGUCGUCCCUAGUAUCAUUUUCAACAUCACAAUUCACAACCUUUCAUUAGCUGAUGGAGGUACCUACACGUGUCGUGGUGUCAGAGGAGAGAGUGUCACUCAACUCACAAUAUUAGAAGGGACUGAUCCAAACAUGUUAUCGCAAACAUGCAUUUCCUCGUCUA